CAAUAGCGUAUAUUAAAGUUGUUGCAGUUAAAAAGCUCGUAGUUGGAUUUCUGGUGGGAGCGAUCGGUCUGGCGCUUAGCGCGAGUACUUGCAUCGUCUCCGGCCAUCCUUGGGGAGAGUCUGUCUGGCAUUAAGUUGUCGGGCAGAGGAUCCUCAUCGUUUACUGUGAAAAAAUUAGAGUGUUCAAAGCAGGCUUAUGCCGUUGAAUAUAUUAGCAUGGAAUAAUAAGAUAGGACUUUGGUACUAUUUUGUUGGUUUGCGCACCAAAGUAAUGAUUAAUAGGGACAGUUGGGGGUAUUCGUAUUCCGUUGUCAGAGGUGAAAUUCUUGGAUUUACGGAAGACGAACUACUGCGAAAGCAUUUACCAAGGAUGUGUUCAUUAA
rnacentral:rRNA from 1 species